rnacentral:lncRNA from 1 species
AUUUUUUUUCUGUGUUGGGAAUUGAAAAUCGUGGAAUAUGAUAUUCUUAAAAACAACGUUAAAAAAAUGUAAAAAAGAAAAAAAAAUUAAAUAGAUGAACCAACUGACCAAACUGGUUCUUUGUAUUAAGACAAGUUUAAAUUCGUUGCAACUGAUUAUGUUGGUUCUCUAGAAAGCUGUAGGAAGUUACGCGAAACAUCGGGAUAAACACUGCAACACCCGCC